AUGCCUAACACAUGCAAGUCGAACGCGUGUAGCAAUACACGAGUGGCGCACGGGUGAGUAAUACGUGGGAACCUGCCCUGGAGUGGGGGAUAACCCGGCGAAAGCCGGGCUAAUACCGCAUACGACCUGAGGGUGAAAGAUUUAUCGCUCUUGGAGGGGCCCACGUCGGAUUAGCUAGUUGGUGAGGUAACGGCUCACCAAGGCAAUGAUCCGUAGCUGGUCUGAGAGGAUGAUCAGCCACACUGGGACUGAGACACGGCCCAG
rnacentral:rRNA from 1 species